rnacentral:sRNA from 2 species
UAUUCUGCCCCACGGGGAAGGAUGAGAAGCUUCGACUAAGGUUCGACUCGAGCGAAGCGAGAGAACGUUGCCGCAGGCAACGGCCCGAAGGGCGAGGAGCGAUAGCGACGAGUU